rnacentral:sRNA from 1 species
GUGUCGGGACCUCUUGGUGGGAGCAGCCUUCCGAGGUGGCCGGGCUGGACGAGAUCAGAGGCUCCCCGUCGACAGGGUCGGAGACCCCCGUCCCUCCCUGCGGCAGCCGCGGCGCCCCUCCUGCGCACCGCGCCGAGUCUCACGCGUAUCUUCUCCCCCUUCCAGGCGCUCUCCACCUGCCCCGCUGCCUGCCACUGCCCCCUGGAGGCGCCCAAGUGCGCGCCGGGAGUCGGGCUGGUCCGGGACGGCUGCGGCUGCUGUAAGGUCUGCGCCAAGCAGCUCAACGAGGACUGCAGCAAAACGCAGCCCUGCGACCACACCAAGGGGCUGGAAUGCAACUUCGGCGCCAGCUCCACCGCUCUGAAGGGGAUCUGCAGAGCUCAGUCAGAGGGCAGACCCUGUGAAUAUAACUCCAGAAUCUACCAAAACGGGGAAAGUUUCCAGCCCAACUGUAAACAUCAGUGCACAUGUAUUGAUGGCGCCGUGGGCUGCAUUCCUCUGUGUCCCCAAGAACUAUCUCUCCCCAACUUGGGCUGUCCCAACCCUCGGCU